CACAUUGGUCAACAGCUAUUUGUAUAAAAUAGAGGAAAGUCCACGCUAACACAAUCUGCGAUGAUUGUAGUGUUCAUGCUGAGCCCAAUAAGCUCAGGCCUAGACGACUAGUGCCACAGAGACGAGAAUUGUGAAACGCGGUAAACUCCAUGAGUUAGAAACCCAAAUAUUGGUAGGGGAACCCUUUCGAUAGAAUAAUGAAUUGACAAAGGGAACUAAAAUUAUUUUAGUUAGAUAAAUUGUUGACACCUUGCAAAAGGAACAAAACGUGGCUUAUAGAU
rnacentral:RNase_P_RNA from 2 species